ACAUGGAUCAUGCACGCUGUGUCGCCGCCGUUGUUGAUGGGAUGGUCAUGCUGUCGCAUGGAUCGUGCACGCCAUGCGGUCGCCGUUGUCGGUGAGAUGGUGAUGCUGUUGCAUGGAUCAUGUAUGUCACGCCGCUGCCGUUGUUGACGAGAUGGUGAUGCUAUCGUACGUGUACACCAUGCCUUUGCCGUUGUCGACAAGAUGGUGGUGCUAUCAUAGAUGUACGCCAUGCCGCUGUCGUUGUCAACAAGAUGGUGGUGCUAUCGUACGUGUACGCCACGCCACUGGCGUUGUUGACGAGAUGGUGGGGCUAUCAUUUGGAUCCUCCGCCCCCUUUUUCUCGAUCAGGAUUGCCUCAAUGCAAAGCCUGUCCAAGGACAUACGAUUCCCAUCCCAAUCUAUCUGCUAUUCCACCAUCCCUCAUCUCCACGAAAAGAAGUAUUGCCACAUGGAUAGAUUUUCUCUUCCCCGCAAGUAAGUUUGGGCAUGGACCUGGUGUGCUCUCAGAGAUAAGGAUUGUUGAUAAUGUGUGCUAUCCAAUAAUUCAAGCCCCAAUGUUCUCACGUGUAAUCUUGGGAUCAUGGAGAUCAAUUCGUCUCACAACUAUGCCCCAUCAGGCCACUCUGAUACAUGGGAAGGUAAUGAAAAAUAUGGUAACAUGUUCAGUCCAUUGAUCCAAGAAGGUUCAGUCCGCCACAAAUAUAUAUCAGCUCAUGUGUUACCUGCACCCAUGGUGAAUAUAACAAGGAGAUCAAACUAUGUGAAUUCUAAUUGGUUGAUAUCAUCAG